UUCACGAGCAUACAGACAUACCCUAAUAACACCGACCGCCUAAGCUCCCGAGCGAAUCGAGUGUUGAUAUUUUAAUUCGGCAAUUCGCUUUCCGUCGACCUUCAUUUUGCAACCGCCGCUCGUGAAAUCGCGAAUAUAAUAAAUCCGGCUGCAUCAGCCAAGGAUUUAACUCCGCAAUACCGAGCUGAUUGUGAGACGAAAAGCUUACUGAUCUUUCUCAGUGAGAAAGUUCGAUAAAUCGUGCUUAUGCGAAUCGUUACUCACUUUUUAGCUCCAACGCGUCCUGAGGGCAUCCAGUUUCCGCCUUAUUCAGUAUGCAUUUCUUGUACUUCUCGAGGAGUCUAUCGUUAUUAAUAACCCUGUGCGUGUCCACGUUGUCCAAUUUCCCACUGUAAUAUUCUUCGGCUGCAGCCACUGCGG